GUAGGGUUAGGGUUUGGUUUUGGCGUUAGGGUAAGGGUUAGGGUUAGGUAUAGGGUUAGGGUUAGGGUUAGGGUUAGUGUUAUGGUUAGGGUUAGGGUUAGGGUUAGGGUAAGGGUAGGGUUAGGGUUUGGUUUUGGGUUAGGGUUAGGUUUAGGGUUAAGGCUUAGUGUUAUUGUUAGGGGUAGGGUUAGGGUUAGGGUUUGGGUUAGGGUUAGGGUUACGAUUAGGCUCAUUAGGGUUAGGGUUAGGGUUUGGGUUAGGCACAUUACGGUUAGGGUUAGGCACAUUACAGUUAGGGUUAGGGUUAUGGUUAGGGUUAGAGUAGGGUUAGGGUUAGGUUUAGGGUUAGGGUACCAUCAAUUCGGGUUAGGGUUAUGUUUAGGCACGUUAGGGUUAGGGUUAGGCACGUUAGGGUUUGGGUUAGGCAUGUUAGUGUUAGGGUUAGGGUUAGGCACGUUAGGGUUAGGGUUAGACACGUUAGGGUUAGGGUUAGGCAUGUUAGUGUUAGGGUUCGGGUUAGGCACGUUAGGGUUAGGGUUAGGGUUAGGCACGUUAGGGUUAGGCACGUUAGGGUUAGGGUUAGUGUUUGGGUAAUGGUUUGGGUUAGGGUUAGGGUUCAGGUUAGGGUUCGGGUUAGGGAUUGGGUUUGGGUUAGGGAUAGGGAUAGGGUUAGGGUUAGGAUAAGGGUAAGGUUUUUGUUAGGCGUAGGUUUAUGGUUACGUUUUGGGUUGGGGUUAAGUUAGCAUUUGGUUUAAAGUUAGGGAAAGGAUAAGGGUUAGGAGUAGGUUUAGGGAAUGGGUUCGGGUUAGGGUAGGGUUAGUGUUAGGGUACGUUUAGGGUAAGGGUAAGUGUUCGGUUUCUGGUUAGGGUUAUUGUAGGGUUAAGGUUAGGGUUACAGUAAGGGUAGGGUUAGGGUUUGGUUUUGGGUUAGGGUUAGGUUUAGGGUUUGGGUAAGGGUUAGUGUUAUUGUUAGGGUUAGGCUUAAGUUUAGGUUUAGUGUAAGGGUUUAGGGUUAGGGUUAAGGUUACAGUAAGUUUAGGGUUAUGGUAACGGUUAGGGAUAGGAUUAUGGUAGGGUUAGGGUUAGAGGUAAUGUUAGUUUUAGGGUAAGGUUAGGGUUAGGUUUAGGGUCAGGGUUAAUGUUAGUGUUAGGUUUAGGGUUAGGGUUUAGGGUUAGGGUAAGGGUUAGGUUUUUGCUUGGGGUUAGCUUAAGGUUAGGGUUAGGGUUAGGUUUAGACACAUUAGGGUUAGGGUUGGGCACGUUAGGGUUAGGGUUUGGCACGUUAGAGUUAGGGUUAGCGUUAGGUUUAGACAUUAGGGUUAGGGUUAGGCACGUUAGGGUUAGGGUUAGGGUUAGGGUUAGGCACAUUAGGGUUAGGGUUAGGGUUAGGGUUAGGGUUAGGGUUAGGGUUAGGGUUAGGGUUAGGGUUAGGGUUAGGGUUAGGGUUAGGGGUAGGGGUAGGGGUAGGGGUAGGGUUAGGGUUUCGGUUAGGGUUAGGUUUAGGGUUAGGGUAAGCAUUAGUGUUAUUGUUAGGGUUAGGGUUCGGAUUAAGUUUAGGGUUAGGGUUUAGGUUAGGGUUAGGGUUAAGGUUACGGAAAGUUUAGGGUUAUGAUAAAGGUUGGGUUUAGAGGUAAGGUUAGGGUUAGGUUUAGGGUCAGGGUUAAGGUUAGGGUUAGGUUUAGGGUUAGGGUUUAGGGUUAGGGUAAGGGUUAGGUUUUUGCUUGGGGUUAUCUUAAGAUCAGGGUUAGGGUUAGGUUUUUGGUUGGGGUUAGCUUAAGGUUAGGGUUAGGUUUUUGGUUGGGGUUAGCUUAAGGUUAGGGUUAGGUUUUUGGUUGCGGUUAGGUUAAGGUUAGGGUUAGGGUAAGGAUUAUACUUAGGGUUUGGGUUUGGGUUAGGGUUCGGGUAAGUUUAGGUUUUGGGUAAGGGUUAGGUUUAGUGUUAGGGUUAGGUUUAGUGUUAGGGUUAGGGUUAGGGUUAGGUUUAGGCUAAGGUUAUGGUUAGGGUUCGGUUUAGGGUUAGGGUUAGGAUUACGGUUAAGAUUAGGGUUAAGGUAGGUUUAGGGUCAGUGUUAGGGUUAGCGUUUAGGGUUAGGAUUAGGGUUAGGGUUAGGAUUGGGGAUAGACUUGCGCUUUCGGUUAGGGUAAGUGUAAGGGUUAGCUAAGGGUUAGGGUUAGGGUUAAUUUUAGGGUAGGGUAAUGGUUAGGGUUAGGUUUAGGGUUAGGGUUAGUGUUAGGGUUAUGGUUAGGGUUAGGUUUUGUUUUAGGCUUAGGGUUUGGGUUAGGGUUAGGUUUUGUGUUGGGGUUAGGUUUAGAGUUAGGGAUCGGGUUAGGGUUAGGGUUAAGGAUAGGAUUAGGGUUAGGGUUAGGGUAAGGUUUAGAGUUUGGUUUUGGGUUGCGGUUAGGUUAGGUUUAGGGUUAGGGUACGAUUAUGGUAAGGGUAAGGGUUAGGUUUAGGGCUAGGGUUAGGUUAGGGUCAGGGUCAGGGUCAGGGUAGGGUUGAUUAGGGUAAGGUCAGGGUCAUUGUCAGGGUUAGGGUUACGGUAUGGGUUAGGGUCAGGGUCAGGGUCAGGACUAGGGCUAGGUUAGGGUAAGGUUAGGGUUAGGGUUAGGUUUUGGUUAAGGGUUAGGGUUAGGAUUUGGCUUAUUGUUAUGAUUAGGGUUAGGGUAAGGGUUUGGAUUAGGAUAAGGCUAUGGUUAGGGUUUGUUUUAGGGUUAUGGAUAGGAUUAAGGUUAGUGUUAGUUUUUUGGUUAGUGUUAGGGUUAUGUUAGGUUUAGGGUUAGGGUUAGGGUUAAGGUUAUAUUCUGUUUAGGGUUAGGUUUAGGGUUAGGGUUAAGGUUAGGGUUUGUCUUAAUGUUGGUUUAGGGAAAGGGUUGUGUUAGUGUUAGGGUUUAGGUUUAUAGUUUGUGUUACGACUAAGUUUAGGUUUAGGGUAAGGGUUAGUGUUUCUUUUAAUGUAGGUAUAGGGUUAGGGUUAGGCUUA
ensembl:lncRNA